rnacentral:rRNA from 1 species
GGGCCCGCACAAGCGGUGGAGCAUGUGGUUUAAUUCGAUGAUACGCGAGGAACCUUACCAGGGCUUAAAUGUAAGUUGCAUAAGUUAGAGAUAGCUUUUUCUUCGGACUACUUACAAGGUGCUGCAUGGUUGUCGUCAGCUCGUGCCGUGAGGUGUCAGGUUAAGUCCUAUAACGAGCGCAACCCCUGUUGUUAGUUGCCAUCGAGUAAUGUCGGGAACUCUAACAAGACUGCCGGUGCAAACCGUGAGGAAGGUGGGGAUGACGUCAAAUCAUCACGGCCCUUACGUCCUGGGCUACACACGUGCUACAAUGGCCGGUACAGAGAGCAGCCACUACGCGAGUAGGAGCGAAUCUAUAAAACCGGUCUCAGUUCGGAUUGGAGUCUGCAACUCGACUCCAUGAAGUCGGAAUCGCUAGUAAUCG